GACGUAGGAGGCGAGCGUUGUCCGGAUUCAUUGGGCGUAAAGAGCGUGUAGGCGGCUAGAUAGGUCCGUUGUGAAAACUCGAGGCUCAACCUCGAGACGUCGAUGGAAACCAUCUGGCUAGAGUCCGGAAGAGGAGAGUGGAAUUCCUGGUGUAGCGGUGAAAUGCGCAGAUAUCAGGAAGAACACCCGUGGCGAAGGCGGCUCUCUGGUACGUGACUGACGCUGAGACGCGAAAGCGUGGGGAGCAAACAGG
rnacentral:rRNA from 1 species